AUUGAACGCUGGCGGCAUGCCUUACACAUGCAAGUCGAACGGUAACAGGUCUUCGGAUGCUGACGAGUGGCGAACGGGUGAGUAAUACAUCGGAACGUGCCCGAGGGUGGGGGAUAACGAGGCGAAAGCUUUGCUAAUACCGCAUACGAUCUCAGGAUGAAAGCAGGGGACCGCAAGGCCUUGCGCUCACGGAGCGGCCGAUGGCAGAUUAGGUAGUUGGGGGGAUAAAAGCCUACCAAGCCGACGAUCUGUAGAUGGUCUGAGAGGACGACCGGCCACACGUGGACUGGGACACGGCCCAGACUCCGACGGGAGGCAGCAGUGGGGAAUUUUGGACAAUGGGCGAAAGCCUGAUCCAGCCAUGCCGCGUGCAGGAUGAAGGCCUUCGGGUUGUAAACUGCUUUUGUACGGAACGAAAAGACUCCUUCUAAUAAAGGGGGUCCAUGACGGUACCGUAAGAAUAAGCACCGGCUAACUACGUGCCAGCAGCCGCGGUAAUAC
rnacentral:rRNA from 1 species